AGCAACAUCUCUGACAUGUACCCACUGUCAUGAAAAUAGUACCUCAUGUGAAGCUCCAGGAAGUCAUGGCUGCCGUGAUGAUCAAACCUGUUCCUCUGGUGCUCUGCAUAACAACAUAGGUGAGCUGAAUCUUCUCACUUACUUUUGGUCACUUCAAGGAUUGAGUUUCUUGUGUAAAUUAGCAUUAUUUAUUAUUUAUUUAUUUAUUGCCUUUAUAUCCCAACUUUUCUCCAAGGAGCACAAGGUGGCGUAUAUGGUUCUUCUCUUAUGCAUUUCACCUUGUGAGGGAUAUUAAGCUGAGAGGCAGGGACUCCCCAAGGUCACUCAGUGAGCUUCAUGGCUAAGUGGGGAUUUGAACCCUGGCAUCUCAGAUUCUAGUCUAGUCCAACACUCAGCAUCAAUACUCAGCCACAUAACCUUACUCCAGCCUUCCUAUUCUCUUUCCAUCACAUGCAGGCUUCAUCAGAGAGAACCUGGCAUGCAUCAGGCUGGGGUUUUGGCCCUUUAGAAAUUUCUGGACUACUGCUCCCAUCCACCUCAGCCAGUGUGGUCAAUUGAUAGAGAUGGUGCAAGCUGUAGUUCAGUAAAUUCUUUGCUUAUUGUAAAUCACUCUACGUGGGGCUGCCCUUGAAACUGACCCAGAAACUCCAGCUAGUGCAGAAUGCAGCAGCAAGACUCCUUACGGGGUCCUCGCCACGGGAUCACAUUCACCCACUGCUAUACCAGCUGCACUAGCUCCCAGUGGAGUACAGGAGCAGGUUUAAGGUGCUGGUUUUAACCUUUAAAGCCAUAUAUGGUCUAGGACCCUCGUACCUACGGGACCACCUCUCCUGGUAUGUCCCACAGAGGACCUUACAGUAUUCAAAUAAAUUUUGGGGGGAGAUUCCGGGCCACAGGGAGGUUAGACUGGCCUCGGCCAGAACCAGGGAUUUUUCAGCUGUGGCCCAGAUCUGGUGGAACACUCUACCACAAGAAAUUAGGGACUUGACAUCUUUCCGUAGGCCUGCAAGACAGAGCUGUUCCACCAGGCCUUUGACCAAGGCACAGUCUGUAAUCUUCAUAGAACUCUAACUCGAUGGUUGCCAUUAAUUUGAUUCUGAACUGAUUCUAGAAUGUAUUUUAAUUAAUUGACUGUGCUAUUUUAUGUACACUGUGCUAUUUUUACCUGUUGUUAGCCACUCUGAGCCCGACUUUGGCCAGGGAGGCUGCAAUACGAAAUUAUUAUUAUUAUUAUUAUUAUUAUUAUUAUUAUUAGCCACAAAUUAGCCAUCACUGCAUUUACUAGCAGUCCACGCUACACCAGAAGCAGUGAACUCUGGUUUGGUUUUGGUUUGCCUUCCAUCAUAAGGCAAGGUAUUAAGUUUAAUAUAUUAUUACAAAUUCAAUGCAAGGAUCAUUUUGGGCACCUACAAGUUCUUUCUCUCUUUGCUCUCACGCCAGCUGUUCCAGAUGAGAUAUUACAACGGGGGGAAAGGUUUUCUAGCUACCCUAUCUCUCCUUCUUGCAUUACUCCUACUAACAUCCUGUGAAAGAAGAGGUGUGAUAUGAUGUCAUCCUCAGAGACCCCGCCGCCUUCAAAUUUUUGCAGGGUGGUGGGACACUCACUGUUCAAUGACACUAAGACUAAGCCAUGCAUCUUCACUGUCUGUGAAUUUUGGAGCAAUUCAUGGGAUUGUUGGCUCAAGAGCAGCCACAUCUUCAUUUUAUCUUGAGCGUCUUGUGAUUUAAGAAUGCAAUGAAGGGCCAUAUGGUUCUUUGGCUUCAUAAUAGUUCCUGGGACAUUGGUCAUUUCUAGGUUUCAGCUUUCAGUUCUCACCUUGCUUGCAUGCCCAUCUGAGAAAUCAGGUGACUUUUUCAUCUGCUACAUCUUUCAACUAGAAUCUUCCAGACAGACAGAUCUAUUCCAGUCUCUGCUAAGGGUAGGUGAAUUUGUCAAUUUUUGUUACUCUCACUUUCUCAUUCUCCCCAAACUUCAAUUUCUGCACAGUAAAUAAUUAAAUAAAUAAAUAACUCAUUAAAAUGUACCACCAUUUAAGAGCAAUUUUCUCCUCAAAAAUAUUUUCAUGCAGUUGCAAACCAUUUUGCCUAAUACAAAGUAACUCUGUUGGUUGUUUUAACUCAUGUAGCUGGGUGGCAUUCAACUAAGUCAGGGGUCAGCAAGGCUUAAGAAACAUAAGAGACUUGUGGAUUUAGAAGGAUAAUCGUGUUUUGGUUCAUUUUCUUGGUUCAAAAACUGUGCAUUAUGUAGUUUCUCACUGAAGAAUAAAAUGUAGUAAAAGGGAAGUAUCAUUGAAAAUAUAUACAUUUAGAGGAAUUAACCAGAGUUUUUGCAGAUCUUGUGAUUUAUUUCCUUUUGUUCUUUUCAGUUCCAGAGUAUGAAGUGUCAACUUUCCAGGGAUGUGUUUAUUCCAAAUUAUGCCACUCAGGUGAUUACAGCUUCAGUGCAGCUAAAGGUAAAUUCCUCCAGCUGAAGGUCUACUGCUGCAAAACAAAUGAGUGCAACAAGGAACCUGUCCACCGUGAGUAUCUGCAUCUCUGAAGGUUAAGGGCUUAUAAAAACAGUGCUUUUUCUGGCAGAACAUGAUGGAACACAGUUCUGCCACCUUUUGGGGGGAAGGAUGCAGGAGGGCUCUGGGACCCCAUCAGAUCACCUCCUUUCCUAAGCUAGGCAAAUUCUCCUCAUGCUUGGGAAAGCAGGCAUGAGUCUUAGACAGGAUCCUGGAACCUGCUGCCUCCUUCCCAAAUCCAGAUGGGCUUUGGGAAGGUGGUGGGAGCACUCUUGGCCCCAUCAGAGAAUCACACCAACUUACCUAAGCUGAGCAAUGCAUCCCAGACUUAGGGAAGGAGGCACUAGGCUGUGACAGUAGCCAGGAACCUUGCUUUCUCCUACCCAAAGCCACCCAUCUCCGGUAGAGGGGGCUCGGUGUCAGAGUGCUCAGGCCAGUAAGUCAAGGACGGGGGCUUCCCUGUGGGGCUGGUAAUUGGUUUGCCACCCUUGAUGCAUUGUAAGUGUGCCAACUGCCUUUCAAGGCCCAUUCACUUGGAGUAUCUUCUGAGUAGACAUUUGUAGAAGUGUUAGAAAUCCUUUGACACAUCACUUUAUUUAAUUAAAUUAAAUACACUGCUUGAUUGUAAAAAAAUAAAAAUAAAAAUCCAAAAAAGUUAAAAUAACAAUAAAAUAAAAGCAUAUUAAAACUUGCAUCUAUUGUAUAAACAUGGAUAGGCUUGUUUCAAUGUUUAUAGCAGGCACCCACUUUUGUUUCUAGAAAAAAAGCACUGUAUGAACCAAUGAUAUCCAGUGUGUCAAUUAGUUACAAGAAAAGUAUAGAAUUCUGUCUUUUGGUCCAUUCAGAUGCGGGGUGCAAGGGACUAAGAAGUAUCUAUGGUUGAUCCUUGAAUCUGGAAUGAGUGGAGUAGAUGAUCACUUCCUUACAUACAUCUAUCACAUUUCAAACAAGCAGUCAUUGGACUGAAGGAAGAGAAGUAGAAAUAUGGGAAAUAUGGGCAUUGCUCUCCCCAAUGUGGAUUCUGGGCCUGCCCACUACUUGCUUGCACACACACACACACAGAGAGAGAGAGAGAGAGAGAGAGAGAGAGAGAGAUUACAUCCAAGAGAAUGCAGCUGUCUGUACCUUCAGAUACAGAGAGUUAGAAUCAGAGAGCAGAUAGCUAGCCUGAUACAUUUCUACCAUGUGAGAACUCCAGAAAAUACACAAAAAAUAGUGUGCAUGACAAAAGGUGAAAGACAAAAACAUUUUUAUAGAUGCUCAGCAGAGGUGCCUGUUCUGCAAAGUUGAUGGCAAAUGUAGGACACGAUGUGGAGGUAGCAUGUCCAGCUAGGGUCAGAAGUUACUAAAAGGCAUGAAAAAAAAUCAAAAUAAAGGUACAAUAAAGAGACUGGGGAAUGAGGUGUAUCCAUAUGCUGACUGUAGGUUUUUAUUUUGGUAGUUACACCACGUGAAGAUCUUUCCCCCAAUGGUCUACAGUGCACAGCCUGCUUCAGAAAGACCGAUUUUUCCGGCAAAACAGGUUGCCCACGUGAGGGGACUGUCAGCUGCCUUGCCAAUGAGACCAAGUGCAUUAACUAUUCUAGCAGGAUGAUAUGUGAGUAAUAUUGCCAAUGGGGCAAGAAACUCAGCUCCUCUCUGUCUCUUUCUCACUUCAAGAAAAGUAAUGACUGAUAUUAUUUUGCAUUUUAUUUAUGAUAGGUGUGUAUAGCUUUGAUUUCUUUCUCUGAGGGAAAGGGCAAUAAUCUAGUCCUGUUCUGGAUUCCAUACUAUCUGCAUAUGAAUUGCAUAAGAACUGGAGGGGACAGGCUCACUCAAGGGUAGGGUUUUACCUUGUGUGAGACUGGGAAGCCUACAAAAGUACAGCACACUCCUUACAGCACACCUUUUUCCUCAAAUGCACAAGGUGCAUCAGAGCAGAGGGAUACAAGGGAGGGUGCAGGACCAGCCAGCACAUCACUGCUUCUCCUCACAACAGUAUGCACCAUUGGGUGCUGGUCCAGGAGUACCCACCCACCUUGGCCAAACAUUCAAAAGUAAAGGAGGCUGGGAGAAAGGAGGACACUACUAGUGCAUCUCUCUUCAUCUAUCUUCAUAAUUAAGUUGCAUUGUGUUUAUUGAAACUUAUUGCAUCACAAGUGUGCAAAAGAACUGCAGCCUUAGUCUAGCAAAAUACAUGGGGUGGGAGACCAGGGCUUUUUUUCAGCCAAAACUCAUUUCCAGCAACUCUCAGGUAGGCCCCAUUGCCAUUCUAAGAGAACAAGGGAGGCACUCAUGUUGAGUUCCGGCACCUCUUUUUCUAGAAAAAUAGCACUAUGGCAGAGGGUAACUUCCUGUUCACAAUGCAUCACCAUGGUGUUAGCCAGGAAACUCAAAUUCAAAGCAAAUAAUCAGCAGGCAAUCCAAUUCUCUCCUUUCUUCUUUUACAGCACAGCAUAAACUCAAGACAGACUGAAAAGGAAGGUCCCUGCCAAAGGGGAAGCUUGCAGGCUCUGUGUUUGGCAGGGAUCAACUGUAAUAUUGAGAACUUGAUCCCAAUGCCAGCACAGCUUCCUGUUGUUGCCACUUAGCUGCUGAACAUUGGAAGCAAACUUUGCUUUGAACAAGGGGUUCAGCUGAUUGGCUGUGACUGCAAGCCCUCCUCUCAAGCAAAUGAUUCAGAGUAGUUUCCAAGAUUCCCAGUUGUUCUGCUGCUGCAGUGAAUUUACCUGCCACAUAUCUCAUGUAAUACAGUGUUAGUGUAAGUCAAGUGGAUGUUGCUUGGGUAGAAUGGUCACAUUAGGCCACCUGGUGGGCUUAAUUUGGCUCACAAGGUAAGACUAGUGAUAGUUGGCUGUCAGAUUAAUCCUACAGGGUUGUAAACAUACUGAGCUUUAAUAAUCACAGUCAUCCUUAUCCCCAAGGCCCCAGAACUCAUGCAAAGCUUCUCCUUUUUAUUACACAGAUCAUAAUAAGACAGCUAAUAGACUCCAAUUCAAAGGCUGUGCAACUGAAGACUUGUGUGCCCUUGAUGGAAAAAACCUUGAAUAUGGUCACCUGCUAGUCCAAGGAAUUAAAGCAAAAUGCUGGAAUGCUGCAAUAUCAUCAAAGCAAAUUGAUCUUGAAGGGUAGAUACAAGACAGCAAAGCUCUCCUCCUUGUUAAUUCCACCAUUCAUGGUAGCUGCAG
rnacentral:lncRNA from 1 species